UGUUGUUGCCAUGGUAAUCCUGCUCGGUACAGAGGAACCACAGGUUCAGACAUCUGGUGUAUGUGCUUGGGGUGAAGCUACCAUCUGUGGGAUCAUGAAUGAACGCCUCUAAGUCAGAUUCCCGCCCAGGCAGAGUGACACAGCAGCACCAAAGGAGCCUUGGUUGGCCUCAGAUAGCCAGCCCCCAUCGUCCCUGUCAGCGGCUAGUUAUCAGGAAUGGGGUCCGGUGUGGACAGCCUUCGUCCUGGGAAAGGGGGCCACUCUCCUGCCCAUCACGCGACGUAUUUUCGUGGGGAACCUGGUGCUAAACCAUUUGAGGACGACCUGCUUCUGCGCUGGCGUUUCAUCUGUAGCAGAACAGCUCCCUUGCUGCAAUCUAGUGAAAGUCAGCCCUCGACACAGGGUUU
rnacentral:ncRNA from 1 species